rnacentral:rRNA from 1 species
AACGAACGCUGGCGGCAGGCCUAACACAUGCAAGUCGAACGCCCUAGCAAUAGGGAGUGGCAGACGGGUGAGUAACGCGUGGGAACCUUCCCAAUGGUACGGAAUAGCCCAGGGAAACUUGGAGUAAUACCGUAUACGCCCGUAAGGGGAAAGAUUUAUCGCCAUUGGAUGGGCCCGCGUCGGAUUAGCUAGUUGGUGAGGUAAUGGCUCACCAAGGCGACGAUCCGUAGCUGGUCUGAGAGGACGAUCAGCCACACUGGGACUGAGACACGGCCCAGACUCCUACGGGAGGCAGCAGUGGGGAAUAUUGGACAAUGGGCGCAAGCCUGAUCCAGCCAUGCCGCGUGAGUGAUGAAGGCCUUAGGGUUGUAAAGCUCUUUAGCCGAUGAUUAUAAUGACUGUAGUCGGAAAAUAAGCCCCGGCUAACUUCGUGCCAGCCGCCGCCGAAAGAC